rnacentral:rRNA from 1 species
CUUGGUCAUUUAGAGGAAGUAAAAGUCGUAACAAGGUCUCCGUUGGUGAACCAGCGGAGGGAUCAUUACCGAGUUUACAACUCCCAAACCCCUGUGAACAUACCAAUUGUUGCCUCGGCGGAUCAGCCCGCUCCCGGUAAAACGGGACGGCCCGCCAGAGGACCCCUAAACUCUGUUUCUAUAUGUAACUUCUGAGUAAAACCAUAAAUAAAUCAAAACUUUCAACAACGGAUCUCUUGGUUCUGGCAUCGAUGAAGAACGCAGCAAAAUGCGAUAAGUAAUGUGAAUUGCAGAAUUCAGUGAAUCAUCGAAUCUUUGAACGCACAUUGCGCCCGCCAGUAUUCUGGCGGGCAUGCCUGUUCGAGCGUCAUUUCAACCCUCAAGCCCCCGGGUUUGGUGUUGGGGAUCGGCGAGCCCUUGCGGCAAGCCGGCCCCGAAAUCUAGUGGCGGUCUCGCUGCAGCCUCCAUUGCGUAGUAGCUAACACCUCGCAACUGGAACGCGGCGCGGCCAAGCCGUUAAACCCCCAACUUCUGAAUGUUGACCUCGGAUCAGGUAGGAAUACCCGCUGAACUUAAGCAUAUCAAUAAGCGGAGGA